CGUUCCUUUCCCUGUUUCCCCAACCCACUGCCCUAUUUUAAGAUCACUUUUCUAGCCACCUCCACUCCCCCCCAUUUCCUAUUUCCUGAUAUGUGUAGAUGCUUCUAAAUUAUAUGCACAGAAUUCUAAAUAAGUCUAAAUAUGUUUGCUAGGAUCAGCAAAGAGUCAGGACAGAUGCAGAGCUGUUGUUAUGGUGGGCUUUAGGGGCAGAAGCUUCUAUGUGGGGUCUUAUAGCCCUGGAUCUAUACAAGUGGUAGAUGGGGCAUUAGGAAAUUUAAGACUUUUGGGGGGCUUAAGGUAGCCACCCUCAGUUUUCCUCUCAAAAAAUGAUUCACUAGUACAGUGCUACUGAUCUACGAAGAGUUACAUGAGCGGGUCUAAUCUGUAUUAGAAGGAAAAUUAAGACACAGGGAUGGAUGGAGAUGGGGAUGAGUUUUUGAGGUCAGUGAGAAUCAUUGACUCCCUUUGGGGGAAACUGGUGAUCAUUAACUGUCUUUGGUACAAGAACAGGAAAUUAUUGGCUAACAGGAUGUGAGGUUGAAAUAUUGUGUGUGAUAUACUGAUUAAAUGGGAAAAUUUAGGGUCACACACCGCCUGGAUGAUGUUUGUAUCAUUACAUGGAUAAAAGAUUGAGAAUAGAAGCUGGUGGAGGAAAUUGGUGACAUCACUGAGGUGAGUUGAGGAACAAUUGGACAGCAUGGUAAAGGGCCUUCAAGGUGGAGGUUAUGUGCAUUAAUUUGCUGGCUAAGGGUCUGGAACUGUGGGCAAGUAUGGUGGACAUUUAGGGUACGGGGGGGUCAUACAGCAAGUAAAGGUAUUGCUAAAAUGUCAUAGUUCCACAUUUUAUGAGAAAUACUAACUCCAGCAAAGCAAAUAAUGGCACCAAAAAUAUUUCUUUAGAAAGUCAUUGUUACUUAUUUAUAGCAUAAUUUUGCAUAAAUGUAUUGGUUACAAUACUUAAAGUCAACCCAUUACUUAUAAAAACAAUUGCAACUGAUUAGUAUAGCACAAACAGCAGAUUUUCUUAAAACAAAUGAAGCACUUUGUAUUUAUUUUUAAUAAUAAGGAUGAACAAAGACUACAUAGUAACAGAUUACAUACUAACAGUUAUGUGCUGGGUGCAUUUUGAGAUUAAACUCCAUUUUUUUGUUUCAAAAAUCAGUUUCAAACUUGUUCACAUAAUGACAAUUUCAAGUAAAAAACACUCAUGUUAACAUAUUUAUAAGUCAUGUUAAGGUAAUUAUUAAAGGAACACUAUAGUCACCUAAAUUACUUUUGCUAAAUAAAGCAGUUUUAGUGUAUAGAUCAUUCCCCUGC